CAUCAGAGUGUGUUAAUAAUAAUAUACGAAAUACUAAUGCUCUGAUGAUCAUUUCGAAAAAUCCGUUCUCAGUGAGCACCUCGAAGCCAAGAGGAACAUAUGUGCCACAUUUCUAGUUUGUAGGCUUUACAGUUUUGGAGUUUUUA